GGUGUGCAGUCGCUCGAGAUUCCCGAGCUUUGCGUUAUUAGUCGCGUUUAAACCGUCGUUCCGAGUUGUUGUAGCAGGGUACGCCGGAAUAUAUAAAUUGAUGACCGCAUUAAUAAUAAUAAAAAUAAAAUUGUGAAUAACUUUCAUAUAUAUCCCGAAUAAUACGCGUUUUAAUUAAAAAAAGUGUAAUAAAAUGUGCGACCAGAAUUCUGCCUCGACGCAGAGCAUCGCCGACUACCUGGCUCAGUUAUUGAAAGACAGGAAGCAACUGGCCGCUUUUCCCAAUGUGUUUCUACAUGUAGAACGACUUCUGGAUGAAGAAAUUGCCCGAGUGAGAGCGAGUCUGUUUCAAAUAAAUGGAGUAAAAAAGGAGCCCCUAGUGUUACCCGAGCCGGACGGACAAGUGACGACACUCACAGAAAAAGUAUAUGUACCGGUCAAAGAACAUCCAGAUUUCAAUUUCGUGGGAAGGAUCCUCGGGCCCAGAGGCAUGACCGCCAAGCAAUUAGAACAAGAAACCGGCUGUAAAAUCAUGGUGCGAGGGAAGGGCAGCAUGAGGGACAAAAAGAAGGAGGAUCAGAACAGGGGCAAACCGAACUGGGAACAUUUGUCCGAUGAACUUCACGUCUUAUUAACGGUUGAAGAUACGGAGAAUAGGGCGCAAUUGAAACUACACAGGGCGGUCGAGGAAGUCAGAAAAUUACUUGUACCACAAGCAGAGGGCGAAGACGAACUGAAAAAGCGACAGCUAAUGGAACUGGCCAUCAUAAACGGCACCUACAGGGAUUCCAGCUCGAAGGCCGCAUCGGCAACAGUCUUCACUGACGUAGAUCUCUCGACUCUUGCAGCGGCCGACGAGGAGUGGAGGCGAGUGGCGGCUGCGGCCGUCGAAACCCAACGGCUGCUCUCCCCCGGGAUGCCGGGACUCGCCACUUCCCUUAGGGCCCCUAAUGGACCCUUGGGGGCCCCACUCAUCCUUAGCCCCCGCAUGUCCGUACCCACCACCGCCGCUAGCAUAUUGAACGGAUCGGCACCCCAUGGAUCUCUGCUGUCUCCCGGGGAUCCACACGGGUUGAUUUACGCCCCCUAUGCGGACUACACCAACUACACCGCCUUGGCUGCCAGCCCUUUAUUGACCGAGUACACCACUGCGGAUCAUUCGGGUGGGUUAUUCGCGCGUUGACUCGCGUCCCCAAUUUUUAUGUGUUCCACGAGACAGCAACAGGGGGCGCCCUAUUGUUACUACUAUCCGACCGGACGGUGACUUCCGAUCCUACCGAGACUGCGCCCGAUUCAAUUUCACUUAACGGUUUGUUUAAUAAAAUUAAUGCGCGUGUGCGUUUCACGGGAAUUCGUAGGCGUAGGGUAUGAAACCGGAGUUUUCAUGUGAGGACAUAAAGUUCUUUUGAAUUAGUCGUUUUUAUGAGUAAAUAUUUAAAAUUAAAGUUUUCUUUCAGGCAGUCCCUUUCAGUCUGUCGAAUUUCUGUUUUUCAAGCAUUAUAUGUUUAUCUAAGUCAUCUUAGGCCACGUUCUUUUUCUAGAUUAUAAAAGCAUCUAUAUUGUUUCUUUUUUUUUCAGGCGGUUUAAUUCAUGCGUGCCUUAAAUUGAGACGACGAAAGUAAAAGUGGUAUCAAGUCACUUGAAUAUGUUUUUCAGAUUAAUCAAACUAAAAGCAUCAAAGAAAAAAUACUAUAUAUGCAUAAAUGUAAUAUAAAACAAUAUAAAUCGAACAAAAUCACAUACCUGAACUAGUAGUUACAGGUAAAAAAACGAUAGCAAGCAAUAAGUCCAAUAAAAAAAUGAUUUAUUCUAUAAAGUCCUUUACAGACUCUUGUUUAUAAAGCUGAAAAAAAUUAAUAAAUCUUAAUAUGCCGAUCACUCUAAAAAAAGUCCAUCUACAGAUAUAGAGUGUAAACGUAAACAAAUAUAUAAAAAUGGGAUCUUAAUUAAAACAGCAUUUCUUUCAUCAGAAAUCAUCAGGUAAAUGAUUGUAAAGGGUUAUCCAUUUUAUGCUUGGGAAAGUAAAGUUAAAUAAAACACACAAGAUAUUAUUCAGAUGGAGACGAAAUUUUUAUUUUGUUUUAAAGAUUGAAUCAUUCCAUUAUAAUUAUGUGAAACACAAUAUCAUUUAAAUGUUCACCGCGGGACCUCUGACAAACUUCAAUCCUUUUAAGACAAUUUCAAUCACUUUUCGGCACAUUUCAGGUGUGGAAUGUUGGCUUUAAGUUGUUGAAGAGUUUGAGGGCUAUUGGCGUAGACACGAUCUUUCGCAUAGCCCCACAAAAAAAAUCCAAAGGUGUGAGAUCACAGAAUCUUGGGGGCCAAUAGAUAGAUAUCACCUAAUCUUGAAAUUAAACGUCCUGGAAACUUCUCUUGCAAAAGAGCUCGGUUGGCCUGUGUUGUGUGACUUGUGGCCCCGUCCUGUUGGAACCACAUGUCUUCCAGAUCUUCUUCUUCGAUUUCUCUCCAAAAAUAAUUGGUCAACAUGCUUCCAUACCGCUCAGAGUUUACUGUUAAGGCUCUCCCACGAUUGUUUUCAAUAAAAUACGGACCAAUGACACCACCAGACCAUAAUGCACACCAUACAGUCGCUUUUUCGGGAUGCAAAGGCCUUUCUAUGAUCACCUGAGGAUUUUCAGAACCCCAUAUAUGCGGCGAUUCUGUUUAUUUACGUAGCCACACAGCGUAAAUGGAGCCUCAUCACUGAAGAAAAUUCUGCUCGAAAAAUGAGCAUCAGCAGCUUGUUGUUCAAGCAUCCAAUUUGCGAAUGUUCUGCGUUGUCCAUGGUCUGUAGGCUUAAGUUCUUGAGUGAGUUGGACUUGCACAACUCGCACAACUCGCCACAGUGAGCCGUAAGACAAACCCAAAUUUUGAGCACGCCAAGGAAUUGACAAAUUUGGGUCUUCCUCCACACUUUGAGCCACAGCAGUAAUAUUUUUAGCUGAACGAGCGUUACGGUGAUGCACGUGCCUUACAAUAUCAGUAACCGAUCCAGUCUCUUCAAAUUUUCUUACUGUGUUCGAAAUUGUUUGCUCUGUAGGACGAUUAUGUCGACCCUAAUCAGCUCGUAAAGCUCUAAACGUUGAUACAGGAGAAUUACCAUUCAACUAAAAAAAAAUGCUUCACACGACGUUUAUUUCUGACAGGGGUCAAACGGCAGGGUUGUACUCUUAGCCAACCUCGAAUUGGAUAACUCGCUAUAAUUGACUGGGAGGUUCUGGGGAUAAGUAAUGGAAGCCUAUAAGUUUGCCUAGUUUGCCAUAAUUAGACAAAUGCUUAACAUUGUGCUCUUAUAUUCUUAUGUAUCAGUGACACUGUUUCGAAUAUAAUCAAAGAUGGUACUAGAAAAUGUUAUUAAUCAAUAAAGAGUGGUUUACAUGAGUCUCUCACUUUGACUUUAGUCACAGACCUAAUUGCUCUUUUCUGAAAGAUAAAUACUAUUUGCAUCAGCUGAAGUUUUCAUAUUAAGUUUUUAUUAAAUUAUACAUAUACAUAUACCGAGUGCUUCAAAAGUUAAAAGGGACUUUAUGCUCUCACUGUAUAAAUUUACAUUAAAAUUUUUUGUUUAUUUCGCUUUGUUUCUCCGGUCCUACAAUACCUAAAAUGGCAAAAAAAAAUGGUAAAAACAAUAGGGUCACCCUUCUGCACCGGCAACUGAUAACAAAUAAAAAUUGGGGUUACUUUUACCGUAUUUAAUAGUCCUAAAGGAGGGUCAAAAGCCCCAUCCUCUCCGGACGACGAACUGUUGCACUUUUAUUCAACGUUUCCGUACAGUGUUUUUUUGUUAGUCGAUAAGUUUAUUAUUUUUUUUAGGUUAAUAAAAUUGAACGCGCCCUAUGCCUUAGGGCCGUUUUAAAAGAACAUUACUUAAUAAUAAUUUAGUCACAAUUUUUACAAUUUUUUUAUUAUAUUUUUCUGUGAUAAUUUCUAACCAUUCAGGUUAUUCGAACGUUACGUACUGUAUGUAAUAUUAUCAGUUUAUUUUAUUUUCAUGAUCAAAUAUUUUUAUUUUAUUUUAAUUAUGUUUGCUUUUUUUUACUUUCGUUUUAGUAUUGAAUAGCACGAAUACGCAAGUCAAGUUUUUAUAAAUUUUUUGCUUAAAUCUCUGUUUAUGUCAUAUUUUAGUGAUGGCAGGGGCGUAUUCUAGACAAAAAAAAAUUGUCGUUAUUAUUAGUUAUAGUGAGUUAAGUGCCGUUUCACUCUAAUGCUUCAUUAGUUUUCUUAUUUACAACUAUUUAGAAGAGAAUUUUUAAAUUCAUAGAUACGUUCCUGACUGAUUUUUUUUUCCUGACCAUUGACGUUAUUCGGAGAUUUUUGCGAAAAUAAUAUAAUAUGUAAUUUUUAGCCUUAAGAUGUACAUUUAUUUAUUUCUAUAGUCUUUUUUAUCGGUCCUUAUUAUGGUUAUUUUUUUAUAAUAGUUUUCAAAUUAAUUGUAUAUUUGAUAAAUGAGAAAAGAGCUAAGAACAAUGGUGCUAUUGAAUGUCGCAGUUUUACCUCAGAAAUGUGAGUAAAGAGGCGGGAAUGCUCAACUUUCUUGAUAAAUUUUAUAGAUGCUGCUUGGACCUCCUUUAUUUUCAUCAGAUAUUCAAAAAAUUUCAAAAAAGAGUGUUAAUUUUUGAAAAAGGGGGACCUAUACUGCCUGUACUCAAAUUAAAAAAAAUCUGCACAAAGUUCAAUUUUUUCUUUAUCCCCAUGUUUUUUUAGUAAAUUUAUAACUGAUAAAUCAAUGUCCUGUGAUCAAAGUUCUUAUGGUCCAUUAUGAACUAACAGUGAGUGAGUGAGAUAUUUUCUUCUCUACAAGAAAAGGUCAGUCAAAGGUCCAAGGAAAUCAACAACUUUCCAUAUAUUUAAAGGUCCUGGAAUAAUUAUUCAUUUCUUCCAGGCAGUUGAGGUCAUUUCAGGCAGUUAAAGCGACUUUUCACGUGCUCAAAGUUUUUGGAAAAAAAGUCGUUUUCUUCCGGAAAUUUGAUGGUUAAUUUCAACGAUUUCCAAGCAGGUGAAUUGAGUUUUCACGUACUCCUGAAAAAUGUUUUGUUUUUUCCAGGCACUCGGUUCAAUAUUUCAACACUUCCAUGCAGCUAAAGGAAGUUUUUAUGUGCUCCAAGUUUCCAUAAAAUUGUUUCGUUGCUUCCAGGUUAUCGGAGUAACUUUCAAAGUUUCUCCUGACAAUUAGAGUGAGUUUCCAUAUGUUUGAAGAACACGGAAUAAUUAUUUAUUUCUUCCAGGCAGUUGAGGUAAUUCUUUAACAUUUUCAGACAGUUAAUGCGACUUUUUAGGUGCUCGAAGUUUUUGGAAAAAAAUCGUUUUCUUUUAGAAAUUUAAGGUUAAAUUUUAACGUUUUCCAAGCAGAUAAAGUGAGUUUUGGUGUACUCCAAGUUACUGAAAGAUGAUUUGUUUCUCCCAGGCACUUGGUUCAAUAUUUCCAUAUUUCCAGGCAGUUAAAGGAAGUUUAUAUAUGCUCCAAGUUUCUAUAGAAUUGUUUCGUGGCUUCCAGAUUAUCGGAGUAACUUGUCGAAGUUUCUCCAGACAAUUAAAGUCAGUUUCCGGGUUUUUUCAAAAAAUGUUUUCCUUCAGAAAUUUGAGGUUAAUUUUCCAAGCAAGUGAAGUGAAUUUUCGUGUACUCCAAGUUUCUGGAAGAAUAUUUUGUUUCUUUCAGGCAUUUGAGUCAAUGUUUCAACAGUUCCAGGCAGUUAAAGCGUCUUUUGAGGGGCUCGAAAAAUUCGUUUGUUUCAGGAAUUUGAGGUUAGUUUGCCUGCAGGUGAAUUGAGUUUUCAUGUACUCUAAGUUCCUGUAUGAAUGUUUUGUUUCUUUUAGACGAUUGAAGUCACUUUUCCAGGUUCUACCAAACUGUUCUACAGCUCCUCAAAAGUAUUCAUUUCUUCUAGGUACUAGCGACAAUACUUCAACAUUUCUAGGCAGUUAAAGAACGUUUAUGUGUGCUCCAAGUUUCUAAAGAAACGUUUCGUUGCUUCCACAUUGUCGGAGUCACUUUUCCAAGUUUUUCCAUCUAAUUAAAUUGAGUUUCCGUAUGUUUCAAGGUCCUUGAAUAAUUAUUGAUUUUUUCCAGGCAGUAGAGAUCACUUUUCAACAUUUCAAGGCAGUUAAAGCGACUUUUCAGUUUCUCGAAGUUUUUGGAGAAAAAUUCGUUUCUUCCAGAAAUUUGAGGUUAAUUUUCAAGUCUUUCCAAGCAAGUGAAGUAAAUUUUCGUGUACUCCCAAGUUUCUGGAAGAAUAUUUUGUUUCUUCCAGGCAUUUGAGUCAAUGUUUCAACAGUUCCAGGCAGUUAAAGCGUCUUUUGAGGUGCUCGAAAAAUUGGUUUGUUUCGUAGGAAUUUGACGUUAGUUUGCCUGCAGGUGAAUUGAGUUUUUAUGUACUCCAAGUUCCUGUAAAAAUGUUUUGUUUCUUUCAGACGAUUGAGGCACUUUUCCAGGUUCUACCAAACUGUUCUACAGCUCCUCAAAAAUAUUCAUUUGUUCCAGGCACUAGCGACAAUACUUCAACAUUUCCAGGCAGUUAAAGAACGUUUAUAUGUGCUCCAAGUUUCUAUAGAAAUGUUUCGUUACUUCCAGGUGGUCAGAGUCACUUUUCCAAGUUUCUUCAUUCACUUAAAUUGAGUUUCCAUAUGUUUCCAACAUCCUGGAAUAAUUAUUCCAGGCAGUUGAGAUCACUUUUCAAUAUGUCCAGGCAGUUGAAGCAACUUUUCUCGUGCGUUCCAAGUUUUUAUGAAAAAAAUCGUUUCUUCUAGGAAUUUGAGGUUGUUUUUCAACGUUUUCCAAGCAUGUGAAGUGAAUUUUUAUGCACUCUAAGUUCCUGGAAGAAUAUUUGUUUCUUCCAGGCCCUUGGGUCAAUUUUUUAACAUUUCCGGGCAGUUAAAGGAAGUUUAGAUAUGGUCCAAGGUUCUAUAGAAAUGUUUCGUGGCUUCCAGAUUAUCGGAGUAACUUUUAGAAGUUUCUCCAGACAAUUAAAGUAAUUGACGAAAAGUCACGGUCUCACAACAUGUAAUAAACGGGCUACGCGUGUUUCGCUCUAGUUAGAGCAUCAUCAGGCCUUUAGAAGCUAUCCACACACUUCACAGUAUAUAAACAAAAAAAGUUUUUAUGUGGUCCAAGUUUCUAUAGAAAUGUUUCGUUGCUUGCAGGUUAUCGAUUACUUUGAAAACUUACGCCAGACAAUUAAAGUGAGUUUCCAUAAGUUUCAAGGUUUUUUUCAAAAAAUUCGUUUCUUCCGGAAAUUUGAGGUUAAUUUUCAAGUCUUUCGUAAAUUCUCUAAGUUUCUGGAAGAAUGUUUUAUUUCUUCCAGGCAUUUGAAUCAAUAUUUCAAUAUUUCCAGGAAGUUAAAGGUUGUGUAUGCGCCAAGUUUCUAAAGAAACGUUUCGUUGCCUCCAGGUUGUCGGAGCCACUUUUCCAAGUUUCUCCCUUCAAUUAAAUUGAGUUUCCAUAUGUUUCAAGAACCUGUAAUAAUUGUUCAUUUUUUCCAGGCAGUUGAGGUCAUUUUUCAACAUUUCCAUACAGUCAAAGCGUCUUUUGAGGUGCUCCAAAAAUUCGUUUGUUUCAACAAUUUGAGGUUAGUUUGCCUGCAGGUGAAUUGAGUUUUCAUGUACUCCAAGUUCCUGUAAAAAUGUUUUGUUUUUUUCAGACGAUUGAGGCACUUUUCCAGGUUCUACCAAACUGUUCUACAGCUCCUCAAAAAUAUUCAUUUGUUCCAGGCACUAGCGACAAUAUUUCAACAUUUCCAGGCAGUUAAAGAAAGUUUAUAUGUGCUCCAAGUUUCUAAAGAAACGUUUCGUUGCUUCCACAUUGUCGGAGUCACUUUUCCAUCUAAUUAAAUUGAGUUUUUAUAUGUUUCACGGUCCUGGAAUAAUUAUUGAUUUUUUCCAGGCAGUAGAGAUCACUUUUUAACAUGUCAAGGCAGUUAAAGCGACUUUUCAGUUUCUCGAAGUUUUUGGAGAAAAAUUCGUUUCUUCCAGAAAUUUGAGGUUAAUUUUCAAGUCUUUCCAAGCAAGUGAAGUAAAUUUUCGUGUACUCCCAAGUUUCUGGAAGAAUAUUUUGUUUCUUCCAGGCAUUUGAGUCAAUGUUUCAACAGUUCCAGGCAGUUAAAGCGUCUUUUGAGGUGCUCGAAAAAUUCGUUUGUUUCAGGAAUUUGAGGUUAGUUUGCCUGCAGGUGAAUUGAGUUUUCAUGUACUCCAAGUUCCUGUAAAAAUGUUUUGUUUCUUUCAGACGAUUGGAGUCACUUUUCCAGGUUCUACCAAACUGUUCUACAGCUCCUCAAAAAUAUUCAUUUGUUCCAGGCACUAGCGACAAUAUUUCAACAUUUCCAGGCAGUUAAAGAACGUUUAUAUGUGCUCCAAGUUUCUAAAGAAACGUUUCGUUGCUUCCACAUUGUCGGAGUCACUUUUCCAAGUUUUUCCAUCUAAUUAAAUUGAGUUUCCGUAUGUUUCAAGGUCCUUGAAUAAUUAUUAAUUUUUUCCAGGCAGUAGAGAUCACUUUUCAACAUUUCAAGGCAGUUAAAGCGACUUUUCAGUUUCUCGAAGUUUUUGGAGAAAAAUUCGUUUCUUCCAGAAAUUUGAGGUUAAUUUUCAAGUCUUUCCAAGCAAGUGAAGUAAAUUUUCGUGUACUCCCAAGUUUCUGGAAGAAUAUUUUGUUUCUUUCAGGCAUUUGAGUCAAUGUUUCAACAGUUCCAGGCAGUUAAAGCGUCUUUUGAGGGGCUCGAAAAAUUCGUUUGUUUCAGGAAUUUGAGGUUAGUUUGCCUGCAGGUGAAUUGAGUUUUCAUGUACUCUAAGUUCCUGUAUGAAUGUUUUGUUUCUUUUAGACGAUUGAAGUCACUUUUCCAGGUUCUACCAAACUGUUCUACAGCUCCUCAAAAGUAUUCAUUUCUUCUAGGUACUAGCGACAAUACUUCAACAUUUCUAGGCAGUUAAAGAACGUUUAUGUGUGCUCCAAGUUUCUAAAGAAACGUUUCGUUGCUUCCACAUUGUCGGAGUCACUUUUCCAAGUUUUUCCAUCUAAUUAAAUUGAGUUUCCGUAUGUUUCAAGGUCCUUGAAUAAUUAUUGAUUUUUUCCAGGCAGUAGAGAUCACUUUUCAACAUUUCAAGGCAGUUAAAGCGACUUUUCAGUUUCUCGAAGUUUUUGGAGAAAAAUUCGUUUCUUCCAGAAAUUUGAGGUUAAUUUUCAAGUCUUUCCAAGCAAGUGAAGUAAAUUUUCGUGUACUCCCAAGUUUCUGGAAGAAUAUUUUGUUUCUUCCAGGCAUUUGAGUCAAUGUUUCAACAGUUCCAGGCAGUUAAAGCGUCUUUUGAGGUGCUCGAAAAAUUCGUUUGUUUCGUAGGAAUUUGACGUUAGUUUGCCUGCAGGUGAAUUGAGUUUUUAUGUACUCCAAGUUCCUGUAAAAAUGUUUUGUUUCUUUCAGACGAUUGUAGUCACUUUUCCAGGUUUUACCAAACUGUUCUACAGCUCCUCAAAAAUAUUCAUUUGUUCCAGGCACUAGCGACAAUACUUCAACAUUUCCAGGCAGUUAAAGAAAGUUUAUAUGUGCUCCAAGUUUCUAUAGAAAUGUUUCGUUGCUUUCAGGUUAUCGAUUACUUUGAAAAGUUACUCCAGACAAUUAAAGUGAAAUUUGAGGUUAAUUUUCAAGUCUUUCGUGAAUUCUCCAAGUUUCUGGAAGAAUGUUUUAUUUCUUCCAGGCAUUUGAGUCAAUAUUUCAAUAUUUCCAGGCAGUUAAAGGUUGUGUGUGCGCCAAGUUUCUAAAGAAACGUUUCGUUGCUUCCAGGUAGUCAGAGUCACUUUUCCAAGUUUCUCCAUUAUAAUAAAUUGAGUUUCUAUAUGUUUCAAGAUCCUGUAAUAAUUGUUCAUUUUUUCCAGGCAGUUGAGAUCACUUUUCAACAUUUCCAUACAGUUAAAGCGACUUUUGAGGUGCUCGAAAAAUUCGUUUGUUUCAAGAAUUUGAGGUUAGUUUGCCUGCAGGUGAAUUGAGUUUUCAUGUACUCCAAGUUCCUGUAAGAAUGUUUUGUUUCUUUCAGACGAUUGUAGUCACUUUUCCAGGUUCUACCAAACUGUUCUACAGCUCCUCAAAAGUAUUCAUUUCUUCUAGGCACUAGCGAGAAUACUUCAACAUUUUUAGGCAGUAAAGAAAGUUUAUAUGUGCUCCAAGUUUCUACAGAAAUGUUUCGUGGCUUCCACAUUGUCGGAGUCACUUUUCCAAGUUUUUCCAUCUAAUUAAAUUGAGUUUUUAUAUGUUUCAAGGUCCUGGAAUAAUUAUUGAUUUUUUCCAGGCAGUAGAGAUCACUUUUUAACAUGUCAAGGCAGUUAAAGCGACUUUUCAGUUUCUCGAAGUUUUUGGAGAAAAAUUCGUUUCUUCCAGAAAUUUGAGGUUAAUUUUCAAGUCUUUCCAAGCAAGUGAAGUGAAUUUUCGUGUACUCCCAAGUUUCUGGAAAAAUAUUUUGUUUCUUCCAGGCAUUUGAGCCAAUGUUUCAACAGUUCCAGGCAGUUAAAGCGUCUUUUGAGGUGCUCGAAAAAUUCGUUUAUUUCAGGAAUUUGAGGUUAGUUUGCCUGCAGGUGAAUUGAGUUUUCAUGUACUCCAAGUUCCUGUAAAAAUGUUUUGUUUCUUUCAGACGAUUGAAAUCACUUUUCCAGGUUCUACCAAAAUAUUCUGCAGCUCCUCAAAAAUAUUCAUUUGUUCUAGGCACUAACGAGAAUACUUCAACAUUUCCAGGCAGUUAAAGAACGUUUAUAUGUGCUCCAAGUUUCUAUAGAAAUGUUUCGUUGCUUCCAGGUGGUCAGUGUGACUUUUCCAAGUUUCUCCAUUCAAUUAAAUGAAACAAAUCGUUUCUUCUUGGAAUUUGAGGUUAGUUUUCAAGUUUUUCCAAGCAGGUGAAGUGAGUUUUUAUGUAUUCCAAGUUCCUGGAAGACUUUUUUUCUUUUUUUCCAGGCGAUUAAGUCACUUUUCCAAGUUCUACAGCUCCUCAAAAAUAUUUAUUUGUUCCAGGCACUAGCGACAAUACUUCAACAUUUCCAGGCAGUUAAAGAAAGUUUAUAUGUGCUCCAAGUUUCUAUAGAAAUGUUUCGUUGCUUUCAGGUGGUCAGAGUCACUUUUUCAAGUUUCUCCAUUCAAUUAAAUUGAGUUUGCGUAUGUUUCCAACAUCCUGGAAUAAUUAUUCCAAGCAGUUGAGGUCACUUUUCAAUAUGUCCAGGCAGUUGAAGCGACUUUUCUCGUGCGUUCCAAGUUUUUAUGAAACAAAUCGUUUCUUCUAGGAAUUUGAGGUAAUUUUUCAACGUUUUCCAAGCAUGUGAAGUAAGUUUUUAUGCACUCCAAGUUCCUGGAAGAAUAUUUGUUUCUUCCAGGCACUUGGGUCAUUUUUUUAACAUUUCCAGGCAGUUAAAGGAAGUUUAGAUGUGCUCCAAGUUUCUAUAGAAUUGUUUCGUGGCUUCCAGAUUAUCGGAGUAACUUUUAGAAGUUUCUCCAGACAAUUAAAGUAAUUGACGAAAAGUCACGGUCUCACAACAUGUAAUAAACGGGCUACGCGUGUUUCGCUCUAGUUAGAGCAUCAUCAGGCCUUUAGAAGCCAUCCACACACUUCACAGUAUAUAAACAAAAAAAGUUUUUAUGUGGUCCAAGUUUCUAUAGAAAUGUUUCGUUGCUUGCAGGUUAUCGAUUACUUUGAAAACUUACGCCAGACAAUUAAAGUGAGUUUCCAUAAGUUUCAAGGUUUUUUUCAAAAAAUUCGUUUCUUCCGGAAAUUUGAGGUUAAUUUUCAAGUCUUUCGUGAAUUCUCCAAGUUUCUGGAAGAAUGUUUUAUUUCUUCCAGGCAUUUGAAUAUUUCCAGGAAGUUAAAGGUUGUGUGUGCGCCAAGUUUCUAAAGAAACGUUUCGUUGCUUCCAGGUAGUCAGAGUCACUUUUCCAAGUUUCUCCAUUAUAAUAAAUUGGGUUUCUAUAUGUUUCAAGAUCCUGUAAUAAUUGUUCAUUUUUUCCAGGCAGUUGAGAUCACUUUUCAACAUUUCCAUACAGUCAAAGCGACUUUUGAGGUGCUCGAAAAAUUCGUUUGUUUCAGGAAUUUGAGGUUAGUUUGCCUGCAGGUGAAUUAAGUUUUCAUGUACUCCAAGUUCCUGUAAGAAUGUUUUGUUUUUUUCAGACGAUUGGAGUCACUUUUCCAGGUUCUACCAAACUGUUCUACAGCUCCUCAAAAAUAUUCAUUUGUUCCAGGCACUAGCGACAAUACUUCAACAUUUCCAGGCAGUUAAAGAACGUUUAUAUGUGCUCCAAGUUUCUAAAGAAACGUUUCGUUGCUUCCACAUUGUCGGAGUCACUUUUCCAAGUUUUUCCAUCUAAUUAAAUUGAGUUUUUAUAUGUUUCAAGGUCCUGGAAUAAUUAUUGAUUUUUUCCAGGCAGUAGAGAUCACUUUUUAACAUGUCAAGGCAGUUAAAGCGACUUUUCAGUUUCUCGAAGUUUUUGGAGAAAAAUUCGUUUCUUCCAGAAAUUUGAGGUUAAUUUUCAAGUCUUUCCAAGCAAGUGAAGUAAAUUUUCGUGUACUCCUAAGUUUCUGGAAGAAUAUUUUGUUUCUUCCAGGCAUUUGAGUCAAUGUUUCAACAGUUCCAGGCAGUUAAAGCGUCUUUUGAGGUGCUCGAAAAAUUCGUUUGUUUCGUAGGAAUUUGACGUUAGUUUGCCUGCAGGUGAAUUGAGUUUUUAUGUACUCCAAGUUCCUGUAAAAAUGUUUUGUUUCUUUCAGACGAUUGAGGCACUUUUCCAGGUUCUACCAAACUGUUCUACAGCUCCUCAAAAAUAUUCAUUUGUUCCAGGCACUAGCGACAAUACUUCAACAUUUCCAGGCAGUUAAAGAAAGUUUAUAUGCGCUCCAAGUUUCUAUAGAAAUGUUUCGUUGCUUCCAGGUGGUCAGUGUGACUUUUCCAAGUUUCUCCAUUCAAUUAAAUUGAGUUUCCAUAUGUUUCCAACAUCCUGGAAUAAUUAUUCCAGGCAGUUGAGGUCAUUUUUCAAUAUGUCCAGGCAGUUGAAGCGAUUCUUCUCGUGCGUUCCAAGUUUUUAUGAAACAAAUCGUUUUUUCUAGGAAUUUGAGGUUAAUUUUCAAGUCUUUCCAAGCAAGUGAAGUCAAUUUUCGUGUACUCCAAAUUCCUGGAAGAAUGUUUUGUUUGUUCCAGGCACUGGGGUCAAUUUUUCAAUAUUUCCAGGAAGUUAAAGGUUGUGUGUGCGCCAAGUUUCUAAAGAAACGUUUCGUUGCUUCCAGGUAGUCAGAGUCACUUUUCCAAGUUUCUCCAUUAUAAUAAAUUGAGUUUCUAUAUGUUUCAAGAUCCUGUAAUAGUUGUUCAUUUUUUCCAGGCAGUUGAGAUCACUUUUCAACAUUUCCAUACAGUCAAAGCGACUUUUGAGGUGCUCGAAAAAUUCGUUUGUUUCAAGAAUUUGAGGUUAGUUUGCCUGCAGGUGAAUUGAGUUUUCAUGUACUCCAAGUUCCUGUAAAAAUGUUUUGUUUCUUUCAGACGAUUGUAGUCACUUUUCCAGGUUCUACCAAACUGUUCUACAGCUCCUCAAAAAUAUUCAUUUGUUCUAGGUACUAGCGACAAUACUUCAACAUUUCUAGGCAGUUAAAGAACGUUUAUGUGUGCUCCAAGUUUCUAUAGAAAUGUUUCGUUGCUUCCAGGUGGUCAGUGUGACUUUUCCAAGUUUCUCCAUUCAAUUAAAUUGAGUUUCCAUAUGUUUCCAACAUCCUGGAAUAAUUAUUCCAGGCAGUUGAGGUCAUUUUUCAAUAUGUCCAGGCAGUUGAAGCGAUUCUUCUCGUGCGUUCUAAGUUUUUAUGAAAAAAAUCGUUUCUUCUAGGAAUUUGAGGUUAGUUUUCAAGUUUUUCCAAGCAGGUGAAGUGAGUUUUUAUGUAUUCCAAGUUCCUGGAAGACUUUUUUUCUUUUUUUCCAGGCGAUUAAGUCACUUUUUCAAGUUUUACCCAAGAGUUCUAGAGCUCCUUAAAAAUAUUGAUUAUUUCUAGACAUUAGCCACAAUACUUUAACACUUCCACGCAGUUUAUAUGUGCUCCAAGUUUUUCCAUCUAAAUUAAUUGAGUUUCCACAUGUUUCAAGAUCCUGGAAUAAUUAUUGAUUUUUUCCAGGCAGUAGAGGUCACUUUUAACAUUCCAAGGCAGUUAAAGCCACUUUUCAGUUUCUCGAAGUUUUUGGAAAAAAACUCGUUUCUUUCAGAAAUUUGACGUUAGUUUUCAAGUUUUUUCAAUGAAGUGUAGUGAAUUUUCAUAUACUCCAAAUUCCUGAAAGAAUGUUUGGUUUGUUCCAGGCACUUGGGUCAAGUUUUUCAGGCAGUUAAAGAUAGCUCACAUGUGCUUCAAGUUUCUAUAGAAAUGUUUCGUGGCUUCCAGGUUGUCGGGGUAACUUUUCCAAGUUUUUCCUGACAAUUAAAUUGGGUUUCCGUAUGUAUAUGUACAUCCUGGAAUAAUUGUUAAUUUUUUCAAGGUAUUUGAGGUCACUUUUCCACAUUUUCAGUCAGUUAAAGCGGCUUUUCGUGCGUUCCAAGUUUUUUGGAAAAAAAUCGUUUCUUCCAGGAAUUUGAGGUUAAUUUUUAACUUUUUCCAAGCAGGUGAAGUGAUUUUUCAUGCACUUCAAGUUUCUGGAAGAAUGUUUUCUUUCUUCCAAGCACUCAAGUCAAUUUUUCAACAUUUCAAGGCACUUAAAGCAAGCUUAUACGUGCUCCAAGUUUCUAUACAAAUUGUCAAGUUUUUCAUAUCAAGUAAAGUGAAUUGUUAAGUACUUCAAGUUCUUGGAAGAAUAUUUUGUUUCUUCCAGGCACUUGGGUCAAUUUUUUAACAUUUCCAGACAGUUAAAGAAAGUUUAUACGUUUCGUUGCUUACCGUUUAUCAUAGUAACUUUUCAAAGUUUCUUCAAGCAAUUAAAGUGAGUUUGCAUAUGUUUUAAGAUCCUGGAAUAAUUAUUUAUUUCUUCCAGGCAGUUGAGGUCACUUUUCAACAUUUUCAGGCGGUUGAAGCGACUUUCCAGUUUCUCGAAGUUUUUGGAAAAAAAUCGUUUCUCCAGAAAAUUGAGGUGAAGUUUUUCCAAGCAGGUGAAGUGAGUUGUCAUGUAGUUCCUGGAAGAAUAUUCUCUUAUGGAAAAAUUAAAACAGUUCUUCCCUCUAAUUCUAGGCAGUGGAAACUAUUAAUUAGGCAGUUUUUUUUUAAUUUCCAGGCAGUGAGGCCAUUUCAAGCUCCUUAUUUAAUUAAUUUUUUCCUUCCAGGCACUUAAAAUAGUCACUUACCCCCAACCUUGAAAUGAAUUUGUGAUUUUUUUUUUCCAUACAGCAAUGAAAGAAUCGAGCAUUCCUUGCCAAAUAUCUUUGCUGAAACGCGAUUUAUAAAAAAAAAAAAAUUGUUAAUUUUAAUAUAAUAAUUUGUAUAUUUAUAUACUUAGUUAGGUUGUUUUUGAAUUAGAAUAAUUAUUACCCGUAUUUUUACAAUGCAUUUAUGUGUUUUUAAAUCAUACUUCUAGUUAUAUAUUAUAAACAAUUGUAAAUAUUCAAAAAAAAAAACAUGAUUGCUGAGUUAGUUUUAAAUAUCAAUCAAAGUGCUUUAAUUGUUAAGUAGGCUACAAAGUAGUAUUGUUAGUGUUUUAUUAUUAUUAUUAUUAUUACUGUGGUGUCAAAGUUCAUUUUUUUGAUUACGCGUGCCAUCGUUGUGACGUCAGAAGUUUAAAAAAAAAAAAAUGAAUUUCGACCAAUGGGAGUCGAGCCACCACCAUUGACUGUUCGAUGGUGUGCGCAGACUCGUCGAAAACUAACGGAUUUAUUUGCGCAGGUGCGUCGGCGGUUGCCAAGCAACGCCGUCUCGGACAAAUCAGAGAGCAUCCGUACCAAAGAGCAGGCGCGCUCUCUUAAACUCAUGCUCUUUUUAAAAAAAAAGGUUAGUUUUUAUUAUUUCUUCUUUUUUUUUUAUUUUUGUUGUUGUUUUUUGUAGGUAUUUUAUAAUUUUUUUUCAGUAUUUUUUUGACGGGCUUUUUUUUUUUAAAUUGUUUUGACACAGGGGUCUGUCGGAUUUUUUUUUCUUUAAUUGAAAGGCAGCUUAAAAGGCAAAGGUGACUUUUUUUUGACAGGUGACAGCGCAUAACCUUGGUAAUCAUUUUAACUUGGUGUCAAAUUCAAACUCAAUUAUUAAUUAUAUUACAAUACAGUACAUCACAAAAGUUAUGUCUAAAUUCAUUUAAAAUUCAGGGGUGUGUUCGAAAAGAAAACGCUCGGACCCGUCGAUUUUUAUUCCAAGUUGCGCAUUUUUGUACGUGAAAUUUGUACGUACAGGGUUGCUCAAAAAUACAUUAACGACCAUCAACUUCAUUUUUUCAAAUGAAAGCACCUUUUUUUUAUUUCAUCUUUGAAUUUCGCGUGAAAUCUACGUAUGUUUCAUGCAUCAUGUCCUACACCUAAAGUCAACAGUUAUCGAAAAAAUACGAUUCAUGUAACAAAUAAAAAAAGAACAAAAAUUAAGUUAAAUGGUUGCCAUUCACGGCUUGAUAAUAUCCAAGGCGAUCAAUAAAGUCUCGUUGCACACUUUUAAUCAUUUCCGGAGUUACGGGGCGCGCACUUCUCUGGGGAUUCUCUCUUUCAAGUCGUCUAGAUUAUUUGGCCUAUUAACAAAUACCUUCGACUUGAGCAUCUUUCUUUUAAAAGGAAAUAAUUAGAAAAUUACUUCUUCUGCCUGAAAUAAAGACAUACUUAGGCAAACUGCCUGGAAAAAUCCAGGAAAUUGCUGUAAUUAAUUUGAGAGGCCUGGAAAAAAAUUUAAUUAAUUUUCCAGUCAGUUGAACACCUUGCAUAUGUGAGCAUCUUUCUUUUAAAAAGGAAAUAAUUAGAAAAUGACUUCUUCUGCCUGGAAGAAAGACAUACUUAGGCAAACUGCCUGGAAAAAUCCAGGAAAUUGCUGUAAUUAAUUUGAGAGGCCUGGAAAAAAAUUUAAUUAAUUUUCCAGUCAGUUGAACACCUUUCGUACAAGAACAUCUUGUAUUUCGAAGGAAAUAAUUAGAAAAUUAUUUUUUCUGCCUGAAAGAAAGACAUACUUAGGCAAAUUGCCUGGAAAAAUCCAGAACAUUGCUAUAAUUAAUUUGAAAGGCCUGAAAAAAAUUCUAAUUAAUUUUCCAGGCAGUUAAAGCUUUUUCAUACAUAAACAUCUUGUUUUUAGAAAGUAAAUAAUAAAAAAAAUUAAUUCUUCUGUCUGGAAGAAAGAAAUGCUUAUGCAAACUGCCUGGAAAAUUCCAGAAAAGUGCUAUAAUUAAUUUGAGAGGCCUGGAAAAAAAUGUAAUUCAUUUUCCAAGCAGUUGAGGACCUUGCAUAUGUGAGCAUCUUUCUUUUAAAAGGAAAUAAUUAGAAAAUGACUUCUUCUGCCUGGAAGAAAGACAUACUUAGGCAAACUGCCUGGAAAAAUCCAGGAAAUUGCUGUAAUUAAUUUGAGAGGCCUGGAAAAAAAUUUAAUUAAUUUUCCAGUCAGUUGAACACCUUUCGUAUAAGAACUGUCUUGUAUUUCGAAGGAAAUAAUUAGAAAAUUAUUUUUUCUGCCUGAAAGAAAGACAUACUUAGGCAAAUUGCCUGGAAAAAUCCAGAACACUGCUAUAAUUAAUUUGAAAGGCCUGAAAAAAAUUUUAAUUAAUUUUCCAGGCAGUUAAAGCUUUUUCAUACAUAAACAUCUUGUUUUUAGAAAGUAAAUAAUAAAAAAAAUUAAUUCUUCUGUCUGGAAGAAAGAAAUGCUUAUGCAAACUGCCUGGAAAAUUCCAGAAAAGUGCUAUAAUUAAUUUGAGAGGCCUGGAAAAAAAUGUAAUUCAUUUUCCAAGCAGUUGAGGACCUUGCAUAUGUGAGCAUCUUUCUUUUAAAAGGAAAUAAUUAGAAAAUGACUUCUUCUGCCUGGAAGAAAGACAUACUUAGGCAAACUGCCUGGAAAAAUCCAGGAAAUUGCUGUAAUUAAUUUGAGAGGCCUGGAAAAAAAUUUAAUUAAUUUUCCAGUCAGUUGAACACCUUUCGUAUAAGAACUGUCUUGUAUUUCGAAGGAAAUAAUUAGAAAAUUAUUUUUUCUGCCUGAAAGAAAGACAUACUUAGGCAAAUUGCCUGGAAAAAUCCAGAACACUGCUAUAAUUAAUUUGAAAGGCCUGAAAAAAAUUUUAAUUAAUUUUCCAGGCAGUUAAAGCUUUUUCAUACAUAAACAUCUUGUUUUUAGAAAGUAAAUAAUAAAAAAAUUAAUUCUUCUGUCUGAAAGAAAGAAAUGCUUAUGCAAACUGCCUGGAAAAUUCCAGAAAAGUGCUAUAAAUAAUUUGAGAGGCCUGGAAAAAAAUUUAAUUCAUUUUCCAAGCAGUUGAGGACCUUGCAUAUGUGAGCAUCUUUCUUUUAAAAGGAAAUAAUUAGAAAAUGACUUCUUCUGCCUGGAAGAAAGACAUACAUAGGCAAAUUGCUUGCAAAAAUCCAGGAAAUUGCUAUAAUUAAUUUGAGAGGCCUGGAAAAAAAUUUAUUUAAUUUUCCUGGCAGUUAAAGACUUCAUACGUGAAUCUCUUGCUCUUCAAUGAAAAUAAUUAGAAAAUUACUUCUAAUGCCUUGACGAGAAAAAUACUCAGGCAAAUUACCUGGAAAAAUCCAGAAAACUGUUAUAUUUAAUUUGAGAUGCUUAGAAAACUAAUUUUCCAGGCAGUUGAAGAUCUUUUCUGCGUGAACAUCUUGAGCUUCAGAGAAAAUAAUUAGAAAAUUACUUUUAAUGCCUGGACGAGAAAAAUAGUCAGGCAGAUUGCCUGGAAAAAUGCAGAUAGUGCUAUAAUUAAUUUGAGAGGCCUGGAAAAAAAUUUUAUUAAUUUUCCAGGCAGUUAAAGACCCUGCAUGUGCGAGCAUAUUUUUUUCAAAGAAAAAUUAUUAGAAAAUUUCUUCUUCUGCCUGGAGGAAAGAAAUACUUUGGAAAAUUGCCUGGAAAAAUCCAGAAAACUGCUAUAAUUAAUUUGAAAGGCCUGAAAAAAAUUUUAAUUAAUUUUCCAGAUAGUUAAAGCUUUUUUAUACGUGAACAUCUUGUUUUUCGAAGGAAAUAAUUAGAAAAUUUCGUUUAAUGCCUGGAAGAAAGAAAAAAUUAGGAAAAUUGCCUGAAAAAAUCCAGAAAAGUGGUUAAUUUAAUUUGAAAAGCCUAAAAAAAAUUAAACUAAUUUUCCAGGCACUUAAAGCUUUUUCAUAUAUGAAAAUCUUGUUUUUAGAAAGUAAAUAAUUAGAAAAUUAAUUCUUCUGUCUGGAAGAAAGAAAUGCUUAUGCAAAUUGCCUGGAAAAUUCCAGAAAAGUGCUCCAUUUAAUUUGAGAGACCUAGAAAAAAAUGUAAUUAUUUUUCCAGGCAGUUAAAGACCUUUCAUACGUGACCAUCUUAUUUUUCAUAGGAAUCAAUAAUGUAGAAAAUUACUUCUUCUGCUUGGAAGAAAGACAUACUUAGGCAAAUAGCUUGGACAAAUCCAGAAAAUUGCUAUAUUUAAUUUGAGAGGCCUAAAAAAAAUUAAACUAAUUUUCCAGGCAUCAGUUGAAGAUCUUUUAUAGGUACGUGAACAUUUUGUUUAUCGAAGGAAAUAAUUAGAAAAUUAAUUCUUUUGUCUGGAAGAAAGAAGUGCUUAUGCAAAUUGCCUGGAAAAAUCCAUAAAACUGCCAUAAUUAAUUUAAAAGGCCUGGAAAAAAAAUUUAAUUAAUUUUCCAGGCAGUUAAAGCUCUUUCAUACGUGAACAUCUUGUUUUUCAAAGGAAAUAAUUAGGAAAUUUCUUUUAAUGCCUGGAAGAAAGAAAAAAUUAGGAAAAUUGCCUGAAAAAUUCCAGAAAAGUGCUCCAUUUAAUUUGAGAGACCUAGAAAAAAAUUUAAUUAAUUUUCCAGGCAGUUAAAGACUUUUCAUAGAUGAAGAUCUUGCUUUUUAAAGAAUAUUACUGGAAAAUUACUUUUAAUGCCUUAAAAAAAGAAAUAAUUAGGCAAACUGCCGGGAAAAAUCCAGAAAACUGGUAUAUUUAAUUUAACCUGCCUAAAAAAAAAAUUGAUGUUCAACUGCCUAGAAAUUGGAAAAAACACAACGAAUUCAUCCAAAAAAAAAACAGCUUUUUUUAAUUAUUCUUCAUUAUCAAAAAACACUUGCCGAUUUUCUUCACCUUAAAGCCUUUGCCUUUAAAAAAAAAAUAAAGAAAAAAAGGGCCUCCUCAGUAUAAUAUUAGGGUUACCAAUUUUUUUAGUUUUUUUUCCCUUGAAAAAAAAGAAACUAAAAGUAGCGUAGAACGAGUACCUCAAUAAAGCAUCACACACCUUUGUGAUACCUAGUCCAGAUUUUUAUACGUAGUGUAUUUAUGUUUUUAUUUUUUACUGCAACAUAGACUAGACCCGCGACCGAAAAACGUCUAAAAACAAACAAAAAAAACCUCCCUCUUCUAGUCUUUUAAUUUUCUAGUCUAAAACCAUCGGUAGAACCGACUUUUGGGCCCUAAUUUUCUGAACAAAAAACGCCUUUUUUCUCUCGAAUUCAUAUUAUUUACUCUACAAAAUAGCCUUUAAGUAAUUUAAAUCGUUUAUAUAUUAUUAUUAUAUUUGUAUAUGUUGUUGACUUGCGCCAAUGUGGAAAAUAUAUUUAUACGAAAAACAUA